AUUGAACGCUGGCGGCAUGCCUUACACAUGCAAGUCGAACGGCAGCACGGGAGCAAUCCUGGUGGCGAGUGGCGAACGGGUGAGUAAUAUAUCGGAACGUGCCCAGUCGUGGGGGAUAACGCAGCGAAAGCUGUGCUAAUACCGCAUACGAUCUCUGGAUGAAAGCGGGGGACUCGCAAGAGCCUCGCGCGAUUGGAGCGGCCGAUAUCAGAUUAGCUAGUUGGUGGGGUAAAAGCCCACCAAGGCGACGAUCUGUAGCUGGUCUGAGAGGACGACCAGCCACACUGGAACUGAGACACGGUCCAGACUCCUACGGGAGGCAGCAGUGGGGAAUUUUGGACAAUGGGCGCAAGCCUGAUCCAGCAAUGCCGCGUGCAGGAUGAAG
rnacentral:rRNA from 1 species